rnacentral:rRNA from 1 species
CCUACGGGGGGCAGCAGUGAGGAAUAUUGGUCAAUGGACGAGAGUCUGAACCAGCCAAGUAGCGUGAAGGAUGACUGCCCUCUGGGUUGUAAACUUCUUUUAUAUGGGAAUAAAAUGUUCCACGUGUGGGAUUUUGUAUGUACCAUAUGAAUAAGGAUCGGCUAACUCCGUGCCAGCAGCCGCGGUAAUACGGAGGAUCCGGGCGUUAUCCGGAUUUAUUGGGUUUAAAGGGAGCGUAGGUGGAUUGUUAAGUCAGUUGUGAAAGUUUGCGGCUCAACCGUAAAAUUGCAGUUGAAACGGGCAGUCUUGAGUACAGUAGAGGUGGGCGGAAUUCGUGGUGUAGCGGUGAAAUGCUUAGAUAUCACGAAGAACUCCGAUUGCGAAGGCAGUUCACUGGACUGCAACUGACACUGAGGCUCGAAAGUGUGGGUAUCAAACAGGAUUAGAUACCCCAGUAGUC